UAGCUCAGUUGGUAGAGCAUAACCUUGCCAAGGUUAGGGUCGCGGGUUCGAGUCCCGU
rnacentral:tRNA from 2 species